UGAGUACAGAAGCAUCAUUAUUAAUACCAUAAAAGUUUCAUCCUACUGGUGUGUGAUGCUUAGAAUAAGAAAAACCAGUUAGGAAGCUUCUACUAUAAUACAUGGAAGGAGAGAGAAUGAAUAGAAUAGAAAUAGAAAUAGAAAUAGGAAUAGAAAUUCAAUGGAGUAGGGGGAAAGAUAGAUCCUGAAAUAAAAGGAAAAAGCAAACAAGAAGCUGUGAUUAACAGACAAUAUUAACUAAGUGACAUGCUGUGGGUAGGAAAGGGGAUCCUGUAUUGCAUUGUAGGUAUGUGAGUGUAAACUGACAGUAAAACAUUACAAGGUAAUUUUGGAAGUAUUAUGAUCUUGUUGUUACUUGUAACAUUUUAAUCACAUGCUUAUUUUUCCUACUGAUCUAAGGUUUUCC
rnacentral:lncRNA from 1 species